AUACGUAGGGUGCGAGCGUUGUCCGGAAUUACUGGGCGUAAAGAGCUCGUAGGUGGUUUGUCGCGUCGUCUGUGAAAUUCCGGGGCUUAACUCCGGGCGUGCAGGCGAUACGGGCAUAACUUGAGUACUGUAGGGGAGACUGGAAUUCCUGGUGUAGCGGUGAAAUGCGCAGAUAUCAGGAGGAACACCGGUGGCGAAGGCGGGUCUCUGGGCAGUAACUGACGCUGAGGAGCGAAAGCAUGGGUAGCGAACAGGAUUAGAUACCCUGGUAGUCCAUGCCGUAAACGGUGGGCGCUAGGUGUAGGGGUCUUCCACGACUUCUGUGCCGUAGCUAACGCAUCAAGCGCCCCGCCUGGGGAGUACGGCCGCAAGGCUAAAACUCAAAGGAAUUGACGGG
rnacentral:rRNA from 1 species